rnacentral:rRNA from 1 species
UACGUAGGGUGCAAGCGUUGUCCGGAAUUAUUGGGCGUAAAGAGCUCGUAGGCGGUUUGUUGCGUCGGCUGUGAAAUCCCGAGGCUCAACCUCGGGUCUGCAGUCGAUACGAGCAAACUAGAGUGUUGCAGGGGAGACUGGAAUUCCUGGUGUAGCGGUGAAAUGCGCAGAUAUCGGGAGGAACACCGGUGGCGAAGGCGGUUCUCUGGGCAUUACCUGACGCUGAGGAGCGAAAGUGUGGGGAGCGAACAGG